rnacentral:rRNA from 1 species
GACGAACGCUGGCGGCGUGCUUAACACAUGCCAGUCGAACGGAAAGGCCCUGCUUUUGUGGGGUGCUCGAGUGGCGAACGGGUGAGUAACACGUGAGUAACCUGCCCUUGACUUUGGGAUAACUUCAGGAAACUGGGGCUAAUACCGGAUAGGAGCUCCUGCUGCAUGGUGGGGGUUGGAAAGUUUCGGCGGUUGGGGAUGGACUCGCGGCUUAUCAGCUUGUUGGUGGGGUAGUGGCUUACCAAGGCUUUGACGGGUAGCCGGCCUGAGAGGGUGACCGGCCUCAUUGGGACUGAGAUAGGGCCCAGAGUCCUACGGGAGGCAGCAGUGGGGAAUAUUGCGCAAUGGGCGGAAGCCUGAUGCAGCAACGCCGCGUGCGGGAUGCCGGCCUUCGGGUUGUAAACCGCUUUCGCCUGUGACGAAGCGUGAGUGACGGUAAUGGGUAAAGAAGCACCGGCUAACUACGUG